rnacentral:rRNA from 1 species
AGGAUAAACGCUGGCGGCGUGCCUAACACAUGCAAGUCGAACGCGCUUUCGGGCUUCGGUGCGAGAGCGAGUGGCGGACGGGUGAGUAACACAUGGGUACCUACCUUGGAGUGAGGGAUACCGGCGAGAAAUCGCCGACAAUACCGCAUAGGCUUCUUCACAAGGGAAGCAAAGUGACGCGAGUCACGCUGUGAGAUGGGCCUGUGGCCGAUUAGCUAGUUGGGGGGGUAACGGCUUCCCAAGGCGACGAUCGGUAGCUGGUCUGAGAGGACGAUCAGCCACACUGGGAUUGAGAACGGCCCAGACUCCUACGGGGGCAGCAGUGAGGAAUUUUCCGCAAUGGAGGCAACUCUGACGGAGCAACGCCGCGUGCAGGAGGAAGGUUUCGGAUCGUAAACUGCUUUUCUCGGGGACGAGCAAGGACGGUACCCGAGGAAGAAGCUCCGGCUAACUACGUGCCAGCAGCCGC